ACACAUGCAAGUCGAACGAUGAUGCCCAGCUUGCUGGGUGGAUUAGUGGCGAACGGGUGAGUAACACGUGAGUAACCUGCCCCUGACUCUGGGAUAAGCGUUGGAAACGACGUCUAAUACUGGAUAUGACUACNGGCCGCAUGGUCUGGUGGUGGAAAGAUUUUUUGGUUGGGGAUGGACUCGCGGCCUAUCAGCUUGUUGGUGAGGUAAUGGCUCACCAAGGCGACGACGGGUAGCCGGCCUGAGAGGGUGACCGGCCACACUGGGACUGAGACACGGCCCAGACUCCUACGGGAGGCAGCAGUGGGGAAUAUUGCACAAUGGGCGAAAGCCUGAUGCAGCAACGCCGCGUGAGGGAUGACGGCCUUCGGGUUGUAAACCUCUUUUAGUAGGGAAGAAGCGAAAGUGACGGUACCUGCAGAAAAAGCACCGGCUAACUACGUGCCAGCAGCCGCGGUAAUACGUAGGGUGCAAGCGUUGUCCGGAAUUAUUGGGCGUAAAGAGCUCGUAGGCGGUUUGUCGCGUCUGCUGUGAAAUCCCGAGGCUCAACCUCGGGCUUGCAGUGGGUACGGGCAGACUAGAGUGCGGUAGGGGAGAUUGGAUUCCUGGUGUAGCGGUGGAAUGCGCAGAUAUCAGGAGGAACACCGAUGGCGAAGGCAGAUCUCUGGGCCGUAACUGACGCUGAGGAGCGAAAGCGUGGGGAGCGAACAGGAUUAGAUACCCUGGUAGUCCACGCCGUAAACGUUGGGCGCUAGAUGUAGGGACCUUUCCACGGUUUCUGUGUCGUAGCUAACGCAUUAAGCGCCCCGCCUGGGGAGUACGGCCGCAAGGCUAAAACUCAAAGGAAUUGACGGGGGCCCGCACAAGCGGCGGAGCAUGCGGAUUAAUUCGAUGCAACGCGAAGAACCUUACCAAGGCUUGACAUACACCGGUAACGGCCAGAGAUGGUCGCCCCCUUGUGGUCGGUGUACAGGUGGUGCAUGGUUGUCGUCAGCUCGUGUCGUGAGAUGUUGGGUUAAGUCCCGCAACGAGCGCAACCCUCGUUCUAUGUUGCCAGCGCGUUAUGGCGGGGACUCAUAGGAGACUGCCGGGGUCAACUCGGAGGAAGGUGGGGAUGACGUCAAAUCAUCAUGCCCCUUAUGUCUUGGGCUUCACGCAUGCUACAAUGGCCGGUACAAAGGGCUGCGAUACCGUAAGGUGGAGCGAAUCCCAAAAAGCCGGUCUCAGUUCGGAUUGAGGUCUGCAACUCGACCUCAUGAAGUCGGAGUCGCUAGUAAUCGCAGAUCAGCAACGCUGCGGUGAAUACGUUCCCGGGCCUUGUACACACCGCCCGUCAAGUCAUGAAAGUCGGUAACACCCGAAGCCGGUGGCCUAACCCUUGUGGAAGGAGCCGUCGAAGGUGGGAU
rnacentral:rRNA from 1 species